rnacentral:tRNA from 1 species
GGUUGUAGCUCAGUGGUAGAGUGCUAGCCUAGCUGGUGUGAGGCCCUGGGUUCAAUCCUCAGCACCA